GUGAUGCAUGCAUUUUAUAUCAUCAUUUAGGAGUUAAAUCUGGAGAAAUUUGAUGUAUUUUGAUCAGAGUAGCCAUUUGGAGGAGAUUAAAAUCGAAUUGCAAAAAAAAAAAAAAAAAAAAAAAAAAAAAAUUUUGAAGUUGAGAAAAAAAAAUGGCCGAGAGCGACACAACCCGCGACACAACUGACUCGGCUUAUGUCGUUUUUACUGGAAAAUUUUUUGACGUGGCAUUUCCGUUACUCCAGCCUUUUUACCUCACUUUUUCUAGAUCCUUCCCCCUUUUACCCAUUCUAGAACAA